UGGGGGGCAUUGUAUGGAGGUGGCGAAGUAUGAGGGACGGAGUCCGGGAGGCCUGGGGCGGUAAUGGGGGUGCAGGGGUUAAGAGAGUAAGGGAGGGGAAGGGGGCCGGACAGCCAGGGAUGGGGAAAGGUAACGGGAGAGACAGAGAGACAGGUGAGGAGCCGCCUCGUUCGGGGGCCGGAGAGGGGUUGGAUCUGGGCCACCACCCCCACUUCAGUCUAGUUUCGAGGUCACAACUCUCCUCUGCUGUUCUCCUUGUUCUGCAACGUGCCCUCAGUUGCCCCCGCAGACCCAGGCUCUGCCCUCCCGCUGCCUGCGGGCGCCACUGCUCCGGGGUGUCGGCCCCACGGUGGGGUGGGCGCAGGUGGGAGGACAAGUGCCUGUCUUCCUUUCUUGGGACGGGAGAUCCUGGGGCCUNNNNNNNNNNNCUCUCCCUCCCUUGCCCCUCAGCCGCCCCUGCUCAUGUUGUUGGCAAGGGGCUGAGACUGAGACAGAAGGAGGAGGAAAAAAGAGAUAAGCAACUUCUCCAAGCUUCUACCUGCUGAACACAACCAGCACCCUCCUCACGCCUGCCUAAAAGUGACAGAAUAUGCAGAUGGCAUCCCCAGGAGGCAAGAGCCCAGUUUCCUUUCUCCUGGGAGGACGUAGAACCGGAGAGGGCUCGAGACAGACGUUAAAGCAGGUGUGGUCUGCAUGGUCUUUCUGUGCUCCCCUCCCCUCUGUUCCUUACUGGAGAAGACCCUUGGCCGCUGGACAGGGUGAGAUGGUAAUUUGAAGCAAAUAGCCUCCCCAUCUCUUCAAAACUAGAUGUGAAUAAAUUCUUUUUUCCUUUUUACCACAAAACAUGGCCUCCUUUGAUGUGAUCAGCAGAGAGCAAACCGACCCAAGCCUAGGAGAGGCCGAUAACAGUACUGGGGGAUGGCUACAUCUCCUACCUCCUACCCCACUUUUAAAAAUUUCAAAAACAGCCUCACUAAAUUACCCAGGCUGGGCCUGAAUUCUCGAUCUGCUUGUCUCAGCCUUCCAGCGUGCUGGGAUUACAAGCAUCUGCCACCACGCCCGGGCUGGGUGCCUUCGUCCAGGGUUACCGAGCUGAAAUAAGAGGGGAAGGUGCCUAAACCGCGCAUUUCUAGCAGGUUGGUCUGGACACGCACGCCUCUUUGCUUUUGGAUCGGGAGGAAACUUCCUGGGCAGGUCGGUGUUCAUAUCCCUUCCAUGAAUCCUUCUCACCCACCCACCACCGGGAGUCGACCUGAGGCACAGCGCUUAUGGAGCGCACGGUCUUUGGCAUUCUGGAGGCGCGUGGGUGGGGAGAGGGUAGGGACAGGCAAUCUACCGGGAUCUACACCAGUUAGGCUUUUUGCCGAAACACAGCAGAGAUUGCCACCCCCACCCAGCACUCCCAGCCUCCACCCGAGGCCGAGUCCCUGGUGACAAAGGCCUCGCCCGAGCCAGUCCCAGGCCACAAUUUAGGUCGCGGCGUCAUCACCGGUCGUUCUGGUUCUCCGGCGUUUCGCGAUCCCUUACUCCCACCCAUGCGUACUCCACACUUCUGAGCUUGAGUGGGUUUUAUUGGAAAACUAGAGUUCAGACCAAGCAAGAGGCUCAGACCUGCUGGGAAACCCUUUUCUCAAGGGACAAGUCUUUAACUGCUAAGUAAAAGCCCUAACACAAAAGCCCGGGCUGGGGCGGGGAGAGCUCAGGUCGGGAGCCGC
ensembl:lincRNA